GGUUGAUAAAAACAACUGACGACGAAAUGGUAGGCUUGAAUGCUUUUGUAACAUACUGUGUACUCCUGGUUUCUGUCACAGAGAGUUCUUGUAAGUUUUGAAAAUAAGGGUAGAAAAAUUAAUUUAUGAAAAUUCAUUGUUAAGUUAAUGAACUAAAUUAUAACAUGUAUAUUAUAAAACUAGAAAUACCUAAUGUCCGAAACGGUUGACGCA
rnacentral:lncRNA from 1 species